GCUUUGCACUUACCAUAUGGCGGUGCAGGCCGAUCACUACUUAGGGUGGUCAGCUUAGUUGUCCUGCUUAGGCGAACACACAUCUGGGUUUGGCAUAACGUCGAGUAGCCUUGAGCAAAAGACGGAGCCAGC
rnacentral:sRNA from 12 species